rnacentral:rRNA from 1 species
GCUGGCGGCGUGCCUAAUACAUGCAAGUCGAACGCUUCUUUUUCCACCGGAGCUUGCUCCACCGGAAAAAGAGGAGUGGCGAACGGGUGAGUAACACGUGGGUAACCUGCCCAUCAGAAGGGGAUAACACUUGGAAACAGGUGCUAAUACCGUAUAACAAUCAAAACCGCAUGGUUUUGAUUUGAAAGGCGCUUUCGGGUGUCGCUGAUGGAUGGACCCGCGGUGCAUUAGCUAGUUGGUGAGGUAACGGCUCACCAAGGCCACGAUGCAUAGCCGACCUGAGAGGGUGAUCGGCCACAUUGGGACUGAGACACGGCCCAAACUCCUACGGGAGGCAGCAGUAGGGAAUCUUCGGCAAUGGACGAAAGUCUGACCGAGCAACGCCGCGUGAGUGAAGAAGGUUUUCGGAUCGUAAAACUCUGUUGUUAGAGAAGAACAAGGAUGAGAGUAACUGUUCAUCCCUUGACGGUAUCUAACCAGAAAGCCACGGCUAACUACGUGCCAGCAGCCGCGGUAGUACGUAGGUGGCAAGCGUUGUCCGGAUUUAUUGGGCGUAAAGCGAGCGCAGGCGGUUUCUUAAGUCUGAUGUGAAAGCCCCCGGCUCAACCGGGGAGGGUCAUUGGAAACUGGGAGACUUGAGUGCAGAAGAGGAGAGUGGAAUUCCAUGUGUAGCGGUGAAAUGCGUAGAUAUAUGGAGGAACACCAGUGGCGAAGGCGGCUCUCUGGUCUGUAACUGACGCUGAGGCUCGAAAGCGUGGGGAGCAAACAGGAUUAGAUACCCUGGUAGUCCACGCCGUAAACGAUGAGUGCUAAGUGUUGGAG